UUUUUAGCCAUCUGCACAGCCCCACAACUUCUCGCUUGAGUGAGACUGCACACACCAGUGUUUACAGGAUCAUGCUCUGACAAGCACGGAGAGGAAAUGGUGAAACUGCCUGCACACCCGGUGAUGUCAAAGCAGAAGAUGUGUGGGCCUGGUAAAGCCCUGCAGAAUUUCCUGUCACUUCUCAUACAACGGUGACGAAACAGCAGCUAACGGCAGCAGAACAAACCUCCACCACCUUGUCUUCUCGGGAGAGGAAGCAGGAAGAUUAGCAGAUCUUGAAAGAGUCUUCUGGAACAGAAAGCAGCUCUGACUGAGCACCAAGACACCGUUAACAAGUGAACUAGCUGCAAGCUGCAGAUGUGCGAGCACCACUUUUAUCUAGAAGAAUACUGCCACCGUGUGGAACGACAGAUUCCUCUUCGACUGUAGUAAGCGAUAUGGUAAUUCUAGACCCACACCGACUACUUUUUCUAGAUUUUAUGGCGUUUUCUGAUUUCCUGAGAAGAAAAAACAG